rnacentral:rRNA from 1 species
GACGAACGCUGGCGGCGUGCUUAACACAUGCAAGUCGAGCGAUGAAGCACCUUCGGGUGUGAAUUAGCGGCGAACGGGUGAGGAACACGUGAGAAAUCUGCCUUCAACACUGGGAUAACUCCGGGAAACCGGGGCUAAUACCGGAUAUGAAACCUGCGGGCAUCCGCGGGUUUGGAAAGUUUUCGGUUGAAGAUGAUCUCGCGGCCUAUCAGCUUGUUGGUGAGGUAAAAGCUCACCAAGGCGACGACGGGUAGCCGGCCUGAGAGGGUGACCGGCCACACUGGGACUGAGACACGGCCCAGACUCCUACGGGAGGCAGCAGUGGGGAAUAUUGGACAAUGGGCGAAAGCCUGAUCCAGCAAUGCCGCGUGAGUGAUGAAGGCCUUAGGGUUGUAAAGCUCUUUUACCCGAGAUGAUAAUGACAGUAUCGGGAGAAUAAGCUCCGGCUAACUCCGUG